AAUAGAUGACGCCGUUGAUUUUUUCUCACAUAUUUGACCAUUCAUCUUAUUCAAAAAUUUUACGUAAUUAUAAUUUAUUUUAUUAUGAGUUGUUUUAUCACUCAUAGUACUUUAAGUGUGAUUUAUAUCUUAUACAAUUAUAUAAAAUUUUUGAAUAAGACGAAUGUUCAAAUAUGUGAGAAAAAGUCAACGGCGUCAUCCAUU
rfam:Oryza sativa (indica cultivar-group) chromosome 1, whole genome shotgun sequence.